GAUUAUAAGAAGCUUGGCUGAUGCUCGCAGCACAUAUUCAGCUACUCUGCAGCAAGCGGCUCCCUCGCCCACAUCCUCUCUGCAUCCUGAACAAGUCAACAAGUGGAUGACAUGAAGUACUUCUCCGCCCUGUGUGUCCUCGUGCUGGUGAUGCUGGCGCUGGCAUCGCCGGCCCGUGGCUGCGACAGCGGGUGUGACAACAACAGCGGCGGCGGCAGCAGCAGCAGCAGCAGCAGCGGGAGCAGCGGCAGCAGCACGUCCGGCUCACAGACCGGUGGAGCUUUGAACAACAUCUUGGCUUCGCAAAACAACGGAUAAGCAGCGUGGAUUCAAGCAACCCAACAACAAUACUUUCUAUUUUAUAUUUUCCUCUACUAUUUUUUACAAGCCCUAGUCUAGUCUAUAGCUCUUGUGUCUAUCGCCCACAUGCUAAGAAGAAGAUGAUCGUAUUUAACGAUCUGGUAUAUUUAAUAAAAUAUAUUUAUGAGUAA